rnacentral:lncRNA from 1 species
GUGUUUGUCCAGUGUGUGUGUGUGUGUGUUUGUCCAGUGUGUGUGUGUGUGUGUGUGUUUGUCCAGUGUGUGUGUGUGUGUGUGUUUGUCCAGUGUGUGUGUGUGUGUGUGUGUCCAGUGUGUGUGUGUGUGUGUGUGUGUUGUGUGUGAGUCCAGUGUGUGUGAGUCCAGUGUGUGUGUGUGUGUGAGUCCAGUGUGUGUGUGUUUGUCCAGUGUGUGUGUGUGUUUGUCCAGUGUGUGUGUGUGUGUGUGUGUGUGUGUGUGUGUUUGUCCAGUGUGUGUGUGUGUGUGUGUGUUUGUCCAGUGUGUGUGUGUGUGUGUGUGUGUCCAGUGUGUGUGUGUGUGUGUGUGUGUCCAGUGUGUGUGUGUGUGUGUGUCCAGUGUGUGUGUGUGUGUCCAGUGUGUGUGUGUGUGUCCAGUGUGUGUGUGUGUGUCCAGUAUGUGUGUGUGUGUGUCCAGUGUGUGUGUGUCCAGUGUGUGUGUGUGUCCAGUGUGUGUGUGUGAGUCAGUGUGUGUGUGUGUGUGUGUUUGUCUAGUGUGUGUGUCCAGUGUGUGUGUGUCUGUGUGUAUCCAGUGUUUGUGUGUGUGUGUGUCCAGUGUGUGUGUUUGUCCACUUUGUUUGUCCAGUGUGUGUGUGUGUGUGUGUCCAGUGUGUGUGUGUGUGUGUGUGUGUGUAUUUUUGUUUGACAGUGUGUGUGUGUGUGUGUGUGUGUGUGUGUGUGUGUGUGUGUGUGUGUCCA